GUUAGCUCAGUGGACAGAGCGCUCCACUGCAAAUGGAGAGGUCCCUGGUUCGAUACCAAAAC
rnacentral:tRNA from 1 species